AUCACGCGGACGUUAGACAAACCAUAAUGCCGCCCGAUUUCGGUCAAUUCCCCGCCCUUGUGGACUGCGAUCAAGUCUCUACUGCGUUGACCCGGUCCUUUCGGCACCGGAUUCCUCAGCCCCCAGCCCCCCGGGGUCGUCAGGAUCGGGUCUAGUUCUUCGCAGCAGAAUCCCCAUCCUUCGGGCCAGCGAGAGCUGGCCUUUUU
rnacentral:sRNA from 21 species